CUUGCUUCUCUUGAGAGCGGCGGACGGGUGAGUAAUGCCUAGGAAUCUGCCUGGUAGUGGGGGAUAACGUUCGGAAACGGACGCUAAUACCGCAUACGUCCUACGGGAGAAAGCAGGGGACCUUCGGGCCUUGCGCUAUCAGAUGAGCCUAGGUCGGAUUAGCUAGUUGGUGGGGUAAUGGCUCACCAAGGCGACGAUCCGUAACUGGUCUGAGAGGGUGAUCAGUCACACUGGAACUGAGACACGGUCCAGACUCCUACGGGAGGCAGCAGUGGGGAAUAUUGGACAAUGGGCGAAAGCCUGAUCCAGCCAUGCCGCGUGUGUGAAGAAGGUCUUCGGAUUGUAAAGCACUUUAAGUUGGGAGGAAGGGUUGUAGAUUAAUACUCUGCAAUUUUGACGUUACCGACAGAAUAAGCACCGGCUAACUCUGUGCCAGCAGCCGCGGUAAUACAGAGGGUGCAAGCGUUAAUCGGAAUUACUGGGCGUAAAGCGCGCGU
rnacentral:rRNA from 1 species